rnacentral:lncRNA from 1 species
AGUGAAGUGACCGACUCACUUGUAUUAAAAUUUAUUAUUGGAUAAGUGGUCAUUGAAAAUUAUGAACUUUCACUUGAGGGGAGCAUUAUGGAUAAACUCACACUUUAGAGGAAGUGUUGAGAAUAACAAAUGUCAUUACAUGUGAAAGUUCCAUAUUUGUUAAAAAUAUGAAUACUUGAGCAUUUAUAAGUGAAAAAAAUUCACACACCUUUUAUUUUAAAAUUUU